rnacentral:rRNA from 1 species
UACGUAGGGAGCAAGCGUUGUCCGGAAUCAUUGGGCGUAAAGCGCGCGUAGGCGGCCCUGUAAGUCCGUUGUGAAAGUCAAAGGCUCAACCUUUGAAAGCCGAUGGAUACUGCAGGGCUAGAGUCCGGAAGAGGCGAGUGGAAUUCCGGGUGUAGUGGUGGAAUGCGUAGAGAUCCGGAGGAACACCAGCGGCGAAGGCGGCAUCCUGGACUGGUCCUGACACUCAGGAGCGAAAGCGUGGGGAGCGAUCCGG